CUUCCCAACUGGGGAGUGGGGGUUUCUCCCUCCAGAACAGGGGAGGCGUGGAGGGACAUGAAGAGCGGCGUCGUUCUCAGGUUUGCGUUUUAUUUUAUUUUAUUUUUAAUUUUAUAUAUAUAUAUAUAUAUAUAUAUAUAUAUAUAUAUAUAUUUUAAGAUUUUAUUUAUUUAUUCAUGAUAGACAUAGAGGGAGAAAGAGGCAGAGACACAGGCAGAGGGAGAAGCAGGCUCCAUGCAGGAAGCCUGAUGUGGGACUCGAUCCCGGGACUCCAGGAUCACGCCCGAGGCCAAAGGCAGGCGCUAAACCGCUGAGCCACCCAGGGAUCCCCAGGUUUGCGUUUUAGAAAGAUCGUUCGGGCUCCUGCGAAGAGGAGGGGCUGUGGGGGGGAACGACAUUGGAGACGGGGACAGAAGUUCUGAGGCUACCACGAAGGUCUGGGUGAGAUGUGAAGCCUCCACCAGAGCUGGGGCAGCAGGAUGGGGGACUGGGUUUGGAAACUUGGGAGGGGAAGGGAAUGGAGUGAAUGGAUCCGGAGGCCAGGGUGAGAAAGGAGCCUGGCUUGGACAGUGCGGUGGGUGAAGGGGACCGACAAACUCAGAUUUUGUUUUUUGGUGGGGGGUUUGUUGUUGUUGUUGUUGUUAAGAUUUUAUGUAUUUAUUCACGAGAGACACAGAGAGAGGCAGAGACACAGGCAGAGGGAGAAGCAGGCCCAAUGUGGGACUGGAUCCCAGGACCCCGGGAUCAAGGCCUGAGUGGAAGGCAGAUGCUCAACCGCAGAGCCACCCAGGUGCCCCGACAAACUCAGGUUUGGAUGUGCCUGGGUUUAAGGUCCCUGCAGGAGGACAUGGCCCAGCAGAAAAGUAGGCUGGAGCCACCCACCUUGGAGUCCUGCGAAUGUAGUGGAAGCUGCCUCCUUCAGGACGGAUGCAUCCCAGAGGAACUAGCUGGACUCACUAUGAACUCGCUAUGUGAAGUCAGAGCAUUUGUGCCACCUUCUGAAAAACACUGA
rnacentral:lncRNA from 1 species